ACUAUGCCACUACCACCGCGUCGGUAGCUCUGGAUGCUACGCCAUCGACCCGACAUUACGCCCUACGAAUUCCUCUCUUCCUCCAUCUUUCUUUGCCUCUUUCGCAUCCUGUUCUUCUCAGCCAAGUCCGUGGUGCACCGAUCGGCGGCCUCGUGUGCCAGUGUCAUAUGUGUUGAUCGCGACAGCCGCGUGUUCGUGUCGUGGUAAGCUCGACUAGCGAGGAACGUCGACGCCGUAAACGCGACGCCCUCGUAACGAUGCCACCGGAGAGGUUCACGAUGUUCAACCAGUUUCCACUUGCAAGUAUAAGUGCGCCAAGUCUCUCUUUACCAGGCCCGACAGAGCGUCGUAAUUUCAGCAAGAAUAGAACGAGGUCGUGAACCAGACGUCCAACGAACAAACGUCAGACGAAAAGAGAAAUGGUGAGGAGGUAGAAGAGAGAAAAGCAAAGAUCGAAAGAACGAACAGAAACGGUCAUAUAGGUGGAUGAUGAGUUAGAGGAAGAAAAAGCAAGAGGAAAAGAGAACUGCCGAGAGAGGAACCUUGUUACAAAAUCAUUUCGUCGGCAGUACGAUGGAUCGAUCGUAGCCAUUUUGUAUUCAGACAUCGAAAUACUGAGUUCAAUGAUUAA